rnacentral:rRNA from 1 species
UUGGAGGGCAAGUCUGGUGCCUGCAGCCGCGGUAAUUCCAGCUCCAAUAGCGUAUAUUAAAGUUGUUGCAGUUAAAAAGCUCGUAAUUGAACCUUGGGCCUGGCUGGCAGGUCCGCCUCACCGCGUGUACUUGACCGGCCGGGCCUUUCCUUCUGGAGAACCUCAUGCCCUUCACUGGGUGUGCUGGGGAACCAGGACUUUUACUUUGAAAAAAUUAGAGUGUUCAAAGCAGGCCUUUGCUCGAAUACGUUAGCAUGGAAUAAUAGAAUAGGACGUGCGGUCCUAUUUUGUUGGUUUCUAGGACCGCCGUAAUGAUUAAUAGGGACAGUCGGGGGCAUCAGUAUUCAAUUGUCAGAGGUGAAAUUCUUGGAUUUAUUGAAGACUAACUACUGCGAAAGCAUUUGCCAAGGAUGUUUUCAUUAAUCAGUGAACGAAAGUUAGGGGAUCGAAGACGAUCAGAUACCGUCGUAGUCUUAACCGUAAACUAUGCCGACUAGGGAUCGGGCGAUGUUCUCAUUUUGACUCGCUCGGCGCCUUACGGGAAAC